rnacentral:rRNA from 1 species
CCUACGGGAGGCAGCAGUGGGGAAUAUUGCACAAUGGGAGCAAGCCUGAUGCAGCGAUGCCGCGUGCGUGAAGACGUCUCUCGGUGUUGUAAGCUCUAUUUGUAGGGGAGAAAAUGACGGUACGUGUUUAAGAAGCCCCGGCUAACUACGUGCCAGCAGCCGCGGUAAUACGUAGGGGGCCAGCGUUAUCCGGAUUUACUGGGUGUAAAGGGAGCGUAGACGGCAGCGCAAGUCUGAAGUGAAAUGCCGGGGCUUAACCCCGAAACUGCUUUGGAAACUGUGCAGCUAGAGUGCAGGAGAGGUAAGUGGAAUGCCUGGUGUAGCGGUGAAAUGCGUAGAGAUUAGGAGGAACACCGGUUGCGAAGGCAGCUUACUGGACUGUAACUGACGUUGAGGCUCGAAAGCGUGGGGAGCAAACAGGAUUAGAUACCCCAGUAGUC